AUUGAACGCUGGCGGCAGGCCUAACACAUGCAAGUCGAGCGGAUGAAGGGAGCUUGCUCCUGGAUUCAGCGGCGGACGGGUGAGUAAUGCCUAGGAAUCUGCCUGGUAGUGGGGGAUAACGUCCGGAAACGGGCGCUAAUACCGCAUACGUCCUGAGGGAGAAAGGGGGGGGUCUUCGGACCUCACGCGAUCAGAUGAGCCUAGGUCGGAUUAGCUAGUUGGUGGGGUAAAGGCCUACCAAGGCGACGAUCCGUAACUGGUGUGAGAGGAGGAUCAGUCACACUGGAGCUGAGACACGGUCCAGACUCCUACGGGAGGCCGCAGUGGGGAAUAUUGGCCGAUGGGGGAAAGCCUGAUCCAGCCAUGCCGCGUGUGUGCAGAAGGUCUUCGGAUUGUAAAGCACUUUACGUUGGGAGGACGGGCAGUAAGUUAAUCCCUUGCUGUUUUGACGUUACCAACAGAAUAAGCACCGGCUAGCUUCGUG
rnacentral:rRNA from 1 species